CCUACGGGAGGCAGCAGUGAGGAAUAUUGGUCAAUGGGCGGAAGCCUGAACCAGCCAAGUCGCGUGAGGGAUUAAGGCCCUGCGGGUCGUAAACCUCUUUUGCCGGGGCGCAGAGGUCCGGACGUGUCCGGGCCGGGAUAGUACCCGGCGACAAAGCAUCGGCUAACUCCGUGCCAGCAGCCGCGGUAAUACGGAGGAUGCGAGCGUGCUCCGGAUUGAUUGGGUUAAAAGGGUGCGUAGGCGGGCAUUUAAGCCGGCGGUCAAAUGUCGGGGCUCAACCCCGGCCUGCCGUCGGAACUGGGUGCCUUGAGUGGGCGAGAGGUGGGCGGAAUGCGUGGUGUAGCGGUGAAAUGCGUAGAUAUCACGCAGAACCCCGAUUGCGAAGGCAGCAUACCGGAGCCCUACUGACGCUGAGGCACGAAAGUGCGGGUAUCGAACAGGAUUAGAUACCCCAGUAGUC
rnacentral:rRNA from 1 species